rnacentral:rRNA from 1 species
GUGGGGAAUAUUGGACAAUGGGGGGAACCCUGAUCCAGCCAUGCCGCGUGUGUGAAGAAGGCCUUUUGGUUGUAAAGCACUUUAAGCGAGGAGGAGGCUACCGAGAUUAAUACUCUUGGAUAGUGGACGUUACUCGCAGAAUAAGCACCGGCUAACUCUGUGCCAGCAGCCGCGGUAAUACAGAGGGUGCAAGCGUUAAUCGGAUUUACUGGGCGUAAAGCGCGCGUAGGUGGCCAAUUAAGUCAAAUGUGAAAUCCCCGAGCUUAACUUGGGAAUUGCAUUCGAUACUGGUUGGCUAGAGUAUGGGAGAGGAUGGUAGAAUUCCAGGUGUAGCGGUGAAAUGCGUAGAGAUCUGGAGGAAUACCGAUGGCGAAGGCAGCCAUCUGGCCUAAUACAGACACUGAGGUGCGAAAGCAUGGGGAGCAAACAGGAUUAGAAACCCCAGUAGUCC